GACGAACGCUGGCGGCGUGCUUAACACAUGCAAGUCGAACGGAAAGGCCCUGCUUUUGUGGGGUGCUCGAGUGGCGAACGGGUGAGUAACACGUGAGCAACCUGCCCUUGACUUUGGGAUAACUUCAGGAAACUGGGGCUAAUACCGGAUAGGAGCUCCUGCUGCAUGGUGGGGGUUGGAAAGUUUCGGCGGUUGGGGAUGGACUCGCGGCUUAUCAGCUUGUCGGUGGGGUAGUGGCUUACCAAGGCUUUGACGGGUAGCCGGCCUGAGAGGGUGACCGGCCACAUUGGGACUGAGAUACGGCCCAGACUCCUACGGGAGGCAGCAGUGGGGAAUAUUGCACAAUGGGCGGAAGCCUGAUGCAGCAACGCCGCGUGCGGGAUGACGGCCUUCGGGUUGUAAACCGCUUUCGCCUGUGACGAAGCGUGAGUGACGGUAAUGGGUAAAGAAGCACCGGCUAACUACGUG
rnacentral:rRNA from 1 species